rnacentral:lncRNA from 1 species
GCCCAUUCGGCCCGAUUACAAACAGAAAAGAAAAAAAAAAGAAAAAUCAAUUACCAUCUCCCAUUCUCCCCUUACUCAAUCUAUUGAAAUUCUAGACGAAGAGCCCAGCCCUCUCAUCCUCCUCCGCCACCACAGCCAAUGAGGUAGAGUUUCGGCGGUUGCUAAAUGCUUAAAUAAGUAUUGGUAAAUUAGCAGCACUCUUUUUAAAUUAUAGCGACACUCUUUAACUGUCACUAUAUACCUAGCGACCCCAUAUAAAGUAACACUUUUUAAAAGUGUUGGUAAUUAGCCAGCAGCAUUUUUUUUGACCUAUACCGACAUUUAAAAGUCUCGCUAUAGACUGUUUUUGUUGUAGUGUAUUAUUUAUUUUGGAUUGUAUAAAUGAUGUAUGUACAUUGAUAGCUA